GUAUCGAUAGCUUAAACUCACAAAGCGUAGCUCUGAAAAGGCUAACAUGAUCCCAGAUCUCUGUACA
rnacentral:tRNA from 1 species